AUUGAACGCUGGCGGCAGGCCUAACACAUGCAAGUCGGGCGAGUGGCGGACGGGUGAGUAAUGUAUGGGGAUCUGCCUGAUGGCGGGGGAUAACUACUGGAAACGGUAGCUAAUACCGCAUACCAUCAGAUGAACCCAUAUGGGAUUAGCUUGUAGGUGGUGUAACGCCUCACCUAGGCGACGAUCCCUAGCUGGUCUGAGAGGAUGAUCAGCCACACUGGUACUGAGACACGGCCCAGACUCCUCCGGGAGGCAGCAGUGGGGAAUAUUGCACAAUGGGCGCAAUCCUGAUGCAGCCAUGCCGCGUGUAUGAAGAAGGCCUUCGGGUUGUAAAGUACUUUCAGCCGGGAGGCGUUACCCGCAGAAGAAGCACCGGCUAACUCCGUGCCAGCAGCCGCGGUAAUAC
rnacentral:rRNA from 1 species